GAGCACAUAGACAAAAAGCUCACAUUCCGCGCUAGCUUGCUUGAAGAUGGGGACAUUAUUUGCUUUCAGAAACCUGCUUCUGCUGAUAGAAUGACAGUAUGCCGCUAUCCGGAUGUUCCUUCUUUUCUGGAAUAUGUUCAUAACCGUCGGGUAUAUAUGACAUACAUUGUCAUAUCAUCAGUGGUUGGAUUGAGCAACAUAAUUGGUUACAGGAUAGCUGCAGUUGAAGGAUCUUGAGUAUAUCCAUAACCUACUUUCAAACUUAAAGUCUGUAUUUAUUCUGUUGUGUUAGGUUGUCCAUUUCUGAUCUCUAGACAAGCCGGAGGAAGAUGGUUUCUGUCCAGAGCUGCAAGUACGUCUGUAUCUAAAUAUUAUAGUUUGACUUUUGUAUGUAUUUGAGUUUUAUACCUUUUUUUUAAUUAUCUAGGUCAAAGGUAUUAACAUAUGAUGAUGUCACGGAAAGAGUUGCUCGUCAUAUUGGUUUGGACUUUGGAUGACCCAGCCAAGAUCAGACUUACCCCUCAUAAUUGUUACUCUCAGCAGCCUAAAUCCCAAGCUAUCAAGUACCGAGGCAAGGUUUGAAAGCUCUAAAGGGUGCUUUAUCAUGCAACUAAUGCAAAUACUGUCGUUCAUAGUGUUAGGCUUCCGAAACAGAGUACGAUUGGUGAUGUGAUUAGUUAUCUGAAGACAAAGGUUGAACCGUCUUAUCCUGAUACGGAACUUAGAUCUCUGGAAGUUUUCUACCACAAGAUUUACAAGAUUCCAGAGGAGAAGAACUUGGGUCUUUGGGAUUGCUUGAUUCAUGUUUAUCACUUCACAAACGAUGCAUCUCAAAGCCAAAUGCUACAUUGUACAAAAUUUUGGGGAACCAUUUUUGUUCACCAUUCAUGAAAGAGAGAUUAUAGGUGAAGUCAAAUUGAGGAUACAGAAGAAACUGCAGUUUCCCGACGAGGAAUUCGCUAAGGUGGAAGUUCGCAUUUGUAUCAUUGGGUCGACCUGAGUACCUUCAGGACUCGGACAUAGUGGCCAGACGUUUUCAGAGGAGAGAUGUUUAUGGAGCUUGGGAGCAGUACCCUAGCUUGGAGCAUUCUGACAGUUCCUGGAAAAGAGCGGAAAGCGGCUGAUAGUUUGCGUUCAUAUAACACCGAAGGUCUGAAAGGACAAACACCAGAUGAGGUUGAAGUUUUUGCAUUAGGUGAUAUAAGUUCCUUGCUCAAUUAUCCAACUGCUGGUCAACAUUUUCUACCAGGGGAACAUCAGCAAGGCGUUCUUGAUGAGAAAUAUGAAGACAUUGGAGGGUUCAGUGUUCUGAAAGCCCAAACACCAUUGUUUAAGAGGAUAUGGUUAAGAUAUGGGCAUAUUGCUACCAACCAAGACUUUAAGUAAAGGGAGGUUUGUUAAAACGGGUAGAAGGCCAUAAAUUUCCCACUUUAGGUAGAAAGGCUUCAAAGGUAGGUCACUGACAUACAUGCCUGACAUUCUGAAACGUUUUUCUGGCGGAAGUUUUUGGUCAGGUGCUAUAAAAAGUUUAAAACUUGCUAAUAUAGCUCUUAAAAGUAUAUAAACAAAUCAGGUCUUAAAGCAUCCUAGUCCCCGUUAACAACAACCGGAAAUAUUGGUGUAGGGUAUGCUUGGUUCUAGCGAACACUUUACAAUGCCAAUUUUUAGAUCGGGUAACUACAUUCUUUGUAGCCUACUAAAUUUUGAAAGCCUUCUUGGGGAUUUUCUAUUAUGAAACAAUGACAGUGAUGUGUUCAAUAGAUGAAUGCAUACAGGGCUAGUAAACUAGAGGAAGGAUUAUGUAGUAAAACAGCCCUUACAUCAUUCUCAUAUGGUUUGGCGUGAGGUUUCAUCAAGCAAUAUUGUUGAUCUCAAUCACAGCAAGAGAUGUUUUGAUACAGGUUGAUAACAGCGCUUAUUGGAUUUCAGAGGAAUUAUUACUGCCGGUAAAUGUUUCCAGCAGUGUUUGAUCUGUGAGUUGAUCUCGUAUAUUUUCGAGUUUUGUGGGUGUUUCGUUGCUCCUUUUUUAAACAGCAUCUCGUAAUGAACUGCUUGCUUGUGAAAAUGAAAUGCCCCUAAACAUUGUCUACAUGAGAUGUUCAGAGAAAUUGCAGUUCGACCAUUCAAGCGAGAUGAAAGAUGUUCAUUUUGAGUUGUUGUUCAUUUUGUUCGAAGUGGAAACCAUUUUCUGAAAAUCUCAGCAGCUUGAUGGGCCGCUAUAAGACAUCCCAUAACCAAAAUAUAAGACAUUCCAUAACUGCUUGAAGGGGAAAAGUACAACCAGGUUAAGUCAGCAACCUCUUAAAAGAAACUCGAGUAUUUUUUUUUCAGGUAAGUAGGGAAUCAAACUAGGCCUUAAAUUCACAGAAAUAUUUAAGGCAACAAAACUAGUGACAAAAUCUCUAGGUGAACAAACUAGUGAUAAGAAAAAACCGGUCAUAUUAUUUUUAACAAAUAAAAACCAUUUCAAACAAAACUGGGAAAAAAAACCCAAUUUAAAUAAAAAUUUUAAAAUUUAGUUUUUAUUAAUUUUUAUAAUCUCAAUCCUACCCUUUAGCGUAUAUAUCCUUAUCGAUCCUUCUUCUCCUCUCGUUUAAUAGUUUCAUUUCUUUUUUCUUCCCCCCUACCACCACCAGAAACUCCUCCGAUUGCAGCACCACCACUAAGCCACUGUCACUUCCAGAUCUGCCACGAUCACCUCUGCCUCUUCCUGUCCUCCCUCGCCAACACUUCUGUUUCUUUUUUUCCUACUACGAUUUCAGAUCGCCACCAGCAUCAUCUCCGCCGCCACCAAACCACAUCUGACAUCAACAACACCUCCAUCUCUUCCUUCCCCACCAUCAUCACUGGAAGCACCUCAUCUUUCUACUCUGAAAGCAACACCAAUAUUCGCGGAUAUACACAGAAGAACUUCAAUUAUUCCGUUGAUUAUAAAAACAAAAUUCG